rnacentral:lncRNA from 1 species
ACCCCAGUCACACGGGCGUGCCAAAGGUCCUUUGAAGUUAAGAAGCAUAGAGCUUUCAAAGGAACAUAAGUUCAAGGGAUAUGUGUCAGUGCUACACGGUCUCCAGUUGGUCUCCGUUGAA